rnacentral:rRNA from 1 species
CCAGACUCCUACGGGAGGCAGCAGUGAGGAAUAUUGGUCAAUGGGCGCGAGCCUGAACCAGCCAAGUCGCGUGAGGGAUGACGGUCCUACGGAUUGUAAACCUCUUUUGCCGGGGAGCAAGCGUGCGUUCGUGAACGCGCGUCGAGAGUACCCGGAGAAAAAGCAUCGGCUAACUCCGUGCCAGCAGCCGCGGUAAUACGUAGGGGGCAAGCGUUAUCCGGAUUUACUGGGUGUAAAGGGAGCGUAGACGGCAGUGCAAGUCUGGAGUGAAAGGCGGGGGCUCAACCCCCGGACUGCUCUGGAAACUGUACGGCUGGAGUGCAGGAGAGGUAAGUGGAAUUCCUAGUGUAGCGGUGAAAUGCGUAGAUAUUUGGAAGAACACCGAUGGCGAAGGCAGCCCCCUGGGACGCAACUGACGCUCACACACGAAAGCGUGGGGAGCAAACAGGAUUAGAUACCCCUGUA